UACGGGGGGGGCGAGCGUUGUCCGAAGUUACUGGGCGUAAAGCGCGUGUAGGCGGGUUGUUAAGUCCGCUGUGAAAGCCCGGUGCUCAACGCCGGAGGGUCGGUGGAUACUGGCAGUCUUGAAGUGGCUAGGGGGAAAUGGAAUUACCGGUGUAGCGGUGAAAUUCGUAGAUAUUCGGAAGAACACCAGUGGCGAAGGCGGCUCACUGGCCCGGUACUGACGCUGAGGCGCGAAAGCUAGGGGAGCAAACAGG
rnacentral:rRNA from 1 species